rnacentral:snRNA from 2 species
GUGCUCCCUUUGACAGCACAUAUACUAAAAUUGGAACAAUAUAGAGAAGAUUAGUAUUGGCCCCUGCACAAGAUGACACACAAAUUCAUGAAGUGUUCUAUAUUAAA